UGACAAAAAAGUUUAUUUAGCAGAGGCUUAA
rnacentral:piRNA from 1 species